GAUCUUCACUGGGUGGAAUGAGUUCAUCUCUAAAACAGAAUCUGCAGCUGGCCCAUCCGGAACCAGUGGACAUAAUUUGGCCCACUUUCUUACCUAUCAACAAUGUGUUUAGAUUUGUAAUGACUCUUACAAAAUAUGUUUUAGCCACAUCAAUAUAUAGCAACAGUUUUCAUUUCCAUAUACAGUAUAUUCAGAUCAGAAUUAUCUGUACCCGCACAAGAUUGGCAAGGGGCUUUUCCCUAACUGGAUGGGACUGGCAAACGUGAUUGCCUGUGUAGGUUAUACUUAGCGCCUGGUGAGUUGUCUGGUCUUCUCAAUCUGUCAGGGAAACUCCUGGCCCAAUUCAGUGAAAGCAAAAAGGGUAGAUUAAUAAAUACAUGUCACUUUUAGUUUACUGUCGGAAAGAAAUUUGUCACGGUUCCUUUGUCUGGUUAGGUGGCCAUUCUCUCUUUCAUGUCCGCUGGCUUUCAGGUGAGAGCUACAUUUUUCUAUCAUCUCUGACAUGUUGACCUGUGAGAGAGGACAACUGGGUCUGGCCUACUCACUGUCCAUUCCAAUUGUCCCACUUCCCUGAAGAAAAUAGCCAGGACUUAUCAAUUGGAUUUCCUAUGCCAAUGCGUGUCCUCUUGUCCUCUCUCGCCUCCUUAUAAUAAAGGUUAGCUGUAUUUGUGCAGAGGUGGGGAGGAGAGUUCAAAAUGAUCUUGCUUGAAAUUAGGUUUUUCCUCCACUUGAAAGUCAUCAAUCUACAGGGGUUGAUCCUAAAAUAAAUGUGUUAUUUAAUGAAGUUAAUUGUGCAAAAAAAAUUCAGUUGAUAAGAUAAGUAGCAUGUAGUUAUUUUUUUUUUACGUGCAUGCUAUUAAAUUCCUUAUAAAACAAAUGGGGAUUUAAUGGGGGUGGUGUGGAGCAGACUUUGGAACAAGUGCAAUACCAUACAGGACUACUCCAGAUGAAAGGUGGCAGUUAGAAAUAACAGUUCUUUCAUAAUAACUUUUUUUUUUUAGAUUCAACUACAAAAUUGACAUUGUUAACCGCCUAAUGGUUUCUGAGUCACGGGGAAUGGACUUGUUUCUCCCCCAAAUGAGAAAAGGCCCCUGUGCGAUUUCUCCUCAUAGAUGGUCAGUAAAUAACUUACUGUGACUGUUUACUGUGUGAGUGGGCAGCAUCUCGUCUCUUGUGAGCAUGCUUUCCUGCGUGAGCUCACGAUUCGUCCAGUGAGAGGGAACAGCUUGUCCUAACCUGACUGUAAACCAAAAUGGCCAGUGAGAUGUACGAUGGUGCCAUUCUUGCAUUCCUUCUGAGGUCCAAGCACAUAAACACUCUGCAAGUCAUUUCCCCAGUCAGGUUGACAUGAAGGCACUAUAACCGUCCACGGGUCACCCACUCAGCUAGUAAGGUUGAUGCUGAUUAUAAGUUGGGACUGAUGGCUUGUUUACAGAGAGUUUGUAUAAGUAAUGUGGCAGUUUAGGAUGAUUUGUGUGCUAGGUUUAUCUACAGUGUAAGGUUGGGGGGAGUAGGAUGACUGGUUAGCCAUAAUGCUACAGUUGUCAACUACCGCUGUUUCUGACACACCACUAGAUGGCUCUGUAGGCAUACUCUUACCUUGCCACAACAGUACCAUCAGUAACAAUAACUUUUAAUUGGUACGGAUCAUUUUAAACCCCAUAAACAUUUUUGCUACAAGCUGGGAAGUAGGUAAAAAAAUGUUUCUUCUGCCAUUUGUGUGGAUCCUAAUGGAUACAUUCAUGUUUAUUUUUCUUAUUAAAAGUUAUGUUAAUAUGGUCACGCUGAGAAGGC
ensembl:lncRNA